CGACGCCUGCGCCUCUGGCGUCUGUAUUGCCACCUCUGGCCCCGGCGCCACCAAUGUGGUCUCCGGACUCGCCGAUGCCCUGCUCGACAGUGUUCCAGGAAACCCCAUCGUCGUCGAAGCCUGCCGCCGUUUUCUGCAAUUUCUGCCAUCAAGGUAGAAUCCCUAAUUUUAUUCAUCCCCUUGAGCUAAUCUCACUCUAAAGCCCUAAUUUCGUUCAUCCCCUACAGCUACGCCCCCAUUAUAUUAUUUUGUUGUUAGAUUUAUGAACUUAGAGCUGGUUGGUAACAAUAUGAAUUAGUUUAGGGCUUUUGCUUGAAUUUUGGAAUGAGUUCUAAUGUCAGGACUGGGCUGAUUAUAUUGCAGCCUGAAUUCAUCAUGCCAUCCUUGAUCGUCUUCCAUCCUUGAUCCUUCUUCUUUAUCUAAUUGCUCUCUCUCUCUCUCUCUCUCUCUCUCUCUCUAACAAUGUGUCUUCCUUACCCCCAGCCGAUUGCAGCUGCUUCACCAUUGCCCAGUGUGAUUUUUUUUCCUUGCAUUAUCUGUCUCUAAAUGUGAGAUUGAGCUAUUUUGUGUUAGAUUUCUGAAAAUUUGCAGCUUUUCUUUGUGUGUGUGGAUGAACUUGAAUUUGGUGUGAAUGAAUUUGAAAUUGGUGUUGUUGUUGAGGCUAUUGUACCUAUGGCAUCUUGUAUUCCAUGUGCAGCAGCUAAGGUGGUUACUUAAAUCUUCUCUUGAUUUUGAAGUAUAUUAUUUAAGGCAAGAGAGAGAAUGCUCUUAUCUUUUCAUAGUGAAAAUAUAGCUGAACUGAGUACUUAUUAUCUUCUGCAGUAAUAGUCAAUGCUAAAAGCUCAUACCACCAAGUCCUGCUAUCUUUUUUUUUUUCACCAGUCUCUCUCUAUAAUCAUUUGUAGCGGAUGCUUCUUUAAUUGACAUUGCCAUAGCAACAAUGGCUUUGGGUCUUUCAGAAAAUUGGGGCCACAGUUGUUUUGCAUCUGCAGGGAUGUACGUGCAACAUCAUAUGCUGAUUGCCAUGGAUGGAACUAGCCGACUAGCUUCCCUGCAGUUUAUUGCUGGUAAAUCAUGCAAAUUCGGUUGCUGGCUUAAUGGUAUGUAGCAUCUCCUUAUAUGAUAGGUUGAUAUGGGCAUCAUCUUUUUGGCCACAGUAACUUGUUCCGGUCAUUGCUUCAUUCUGUUAUAUUGUUCUGCAAACUAGAACGCUGGCAUUUUCUUUGUAUGAACAUUUAGCUAGUUUUGCUUCGUGAUAGCAUCUGACAUUCUGGGCAGAACAUUUGAUGCAGAUGCACAAACAAUUCUAGCUCGCGAAGGAAAUAUUGAUUUAUCAUUUUUCCAAAGGUCAUUACAGGGGUGGAAGUCUAAAAUAGUGGAGGUCUAAUCGUUGCUUGGCUAUUGCAACCAGUGGAGGUCUAAACCAGCAAAGGACCGGGGUGGAAGUCUAAAAUAGUGGAGGUCUAAUCAUUCUUUCACUUAUUAAUUGAUUUUUUUCUAUUGGAGUAUCAUGAUGCUCUACAUUGUGAUUCUUGGUUGGCUCUUUGUAUGAUUUUGUGGCAGGUUUGUGGUGGAUUAAAUGAGUCGUACGUUGAGCUGGAGAUACUUGUGAAUUCACAAGAAAAUUGUACCAGAUGGCUAGCUAGUUGCAUAUUUAAUAUGUUUAAUAUUUUUGUAAGGCAUAAUAGUAUAGAUAGAGCAGUUGUUGAAUUUUGACUAUAUUCAAAUCUUGUAUGAAUUCUUUUUUAUGAUAAUAAUAUAAAAUUAAAUAUUUUGGA